rnacentral:rRNA from 1 species
AUGGCCUCUAGUUCUUCUUUGAGGAAGCAGAAUCAGGUGUUAGGAUUGGCAAAGCGCCAGAAGAGAGGGAUGCCAACCCAAGCAGAGUCCUUGCCCUCGAAGCUUCAAUGCGAGCUUAUGCAGACAACAAGGUUGGCACUGUUGUUAACCCGGCGCUCAGAACUAGAUUCGACACAGUUGAAGAAGCGUAAAACUGUUGGUUUCAGACCAAGCUCGUGCAAUGGAGGUUGCCAUAGAAGAUGUCAUGCCACAUACAAGUCGUGCAAAUGGCAUGUGUUGAAGAAAGCAAAAGAGUGCCUUGGGCCACUGCUAGGCAAGGGUAGUGAGUUCAAACAGGAGUUCAACAAGAUGGUGCAUCGCAUGACUCGGAUGAAGUGGGCUAAGCCUUACUUCAUGGAUGCUUUUUGCGCCAAGAUGACCAGCACGCAACAGAGUGAAAUUGCAAACCAUUUGCAGAAAGGAUAUGUGCCACCAGGAUCCUUGGUGCACCUUUUCAUCAGGCAAUAUGAGAAGAUGCAAUUUGACAGAGAUUCAGAGGAGAAUUAUCAAGAGAAGAGAACCAAACUGGGUGGUGUUUUGCUUGCUCAGAACCUACCUAUUGAGAUACAUGCAUCAAAAAUUUAUACGAAGGCCAUGUUUGAAAAUUUUGGUGAGAUGCUAUAUGAACGUGGGUCAUAUGUUCUGAUCGAAGUUGUGCCUCGUCAUGAAUACAUAGCGAGGCAUGUCAACGAGCUUGCUGACGAAUUCAAGUGUGAAUGUGGAAUGUUUGAACAUUUUGGCAUGGUGUGCAGCCAUGCACUGAAGGUAAUGAUACAGCUUGGUCUGCAGGAGGUUCCAGCCGGGCAAAUACUGAAGCGUUGGACAAGGGAUGCAAGACUCGGUGACAACAAUGCGGAUGCAUAUGCUCUUGCGAUGGAUCAACUAAGAAAUGUGAAAACAUUGCUUUGCGGCGCCAUCAAAGAAGAGACCAGCGGGGUGCCCUACGACAAGCCGCAAUAA